rnacentral:misc_RNA from 1 species
AAGAAUUUAAAGAGUGCACUUCAUUGUGGCCUCGACAUUUUCUACCAUUCACCCUAGUGCCACCGUAAUACCUUUUUUUAUUAGACUCUAGCAAAGUUAAUGAAUGUAACACUUUUUUAUAAAGAAAUA